rfam:Oreochromis niloticus linkage group LG6, whole genome shotgun sequence.
AUUUGAAACGUUUUAGCUAAAAAUGUUUCCAUGCUCAAGGUGUUUUUUGCAGAAACGUUUCAGAUUU